UGCAAGUCGAACGAGUUCUGAUUAUUGAAAGGUGCUUGCAUCUUGAUUUAAUUUUGAACGAGUGGCGGACGGGUGAGUAACACGUGGGUAACCUGCCCUUAAGUGGGGGAUAACAUUUGGAAACAGAUGCUAAUACCGCAUAAAUCCAAGAACCGCAUGGUUCUUGGCUGAAAGAUGGCGUAAGCUAUCGCUUUUGGAUGGACCCGCGGCGUAUUAGCUAGUUGGUGAGGUAACGGCUCACCAAGGCAAUGAUACGUAGCCGAACUGAGAGGUUGAUCGGCCACAUUGGGACUGAGACACGGCCCAAACUCCUACGGGAGGCAGCAGUAGGGAAUCUUCCACAAUGGACGCAAGUCUGAUGGAGCAACGCCGCGUGAGUGAAGAAGGCUUUCGGGUCGUAAAACUCUGUUGUUGGAGAAGAAUGGUCGGCAGAGUAACUGUUGUCGGCGUGACGGUAUCCAACCAGAAAGCCACGGCUAACUACGUGCCAGCAGCCGCGGUAAUACGUAGGUGGCAAGCGUUAUCCGGAUUUAUUGGGCGUAAAGCGAGCGCAGGCGGUUUUUUAAGUCUGAUGUGAAAGCCCUCGGCUUAACCGAGGAAGUGCAUCGGAAACUGGGAAACUUGAGUGCAGAAGAGGACAGUGGAACUCCAUGUGUAGCGGUGAAAUGCGUAGAUAUAUGGAAGAACACCAGUGGCGAAGGCGGCUGUCUGGUCUGUAACUGACGCUGAGGCUCGAAAGCAUGGGUAGCGAACAGGAUUAGAUACCCUGGUAGUCCAUGCCGUAAACGAUGAAUGCUAGGUGUUGGAGGGUUUCCGCCCUUCAGUGCCGCAGCUAACGCAUUAAGCAUUCCGCCUGGGGAGUACGACCGCAAGGUUGAAACUCAAAGGAAUUGACGGGGGCCCGCACAAGCGGUGGAGCAUGUGGUUUAAUUCGAAGCAACGCGAAGAACCUUACCAGGUCUUGACAUCUUUUGAUCACCUGAGAGAUCAGGUUUCCCCUUCGGGGGCAAAAUGACAGGUGGUGUAUGGUUGUCGUCAGCUCGUGUCGUGAGAUGUUGGGUUAAGUCCCGCAACGAGCGCAACCCUUAUGACUAGUUGCCAGCAUUUAGUUGGGCACUCUAGUAAGACUGCCGGUGACAAACCGGAGGAAGGUGGGGAUGACGUCAAAUCAUCAUGCCCCUUAUGACCUGGGCUACACACGUGCUACAAUGGAUGGUACAACGAGUUGCGAGACCGCGAGGUCAAGCUAAUCUCUUAAAGCCAUUCUCAGUUCGGACUGUAGGCUGCAACUCGCCUACACGAAGUCGGAAUCGCUAGUAAUCGCGGAUCAGCACGCCGCGGUGAAUACGUUCCCGGGCCUUGUACACACCGCCCGUCACACCAUGAGAGUUUGUAACACCCGAAGCCGGUGGCGUAACCCUUUUAGGGAGCGAGCCGUCU
rnacentral:rRNA from 1 species